CCUUAAAUUCUGACAAUUUCAAGAAUUCCAUAAAUUUCUUGAAUUCCAUGAAUUUGGUGAAAUCCUUGAAUUCCGUGAAUUCUUUGAAUUUCAUAAAUUUCGAGAAUUCCGUGAAUUCCUCGUAUUUCCUGCCUUAUACGAAAUCCGUGAAUUCUUUAACUGACGUUAAUUCUUUGAAUUAUUUGCGUUCUUGCAUUCUCUAAGUUCCAUGAAUUCCGUUAUGAUGUAAAUACCUUGCAUUCCGUGAAUUCGUUGGAUUCAAUGAAUUCGUAGAUUUCCAUGAAUUCGUUGCAUACUGUGGAUGCACUGAAAUCCCUGAAUUUCCUGAAUAAUUUGAAUCCCGAAAUUUCUUGAAUUCUGUGAUUUCCGUAAAUUCCCUAUUUUCCUUGAGUUCCAUGAUUUCCGUAAAUGCCUUAAAUUUCGUGAAUUCCAGAAAUUCUUUAAAUUCCUUGAAUUUUGACAAUCCAAAUAAUUCCAUAAUUUCAUUGAAUUUCAUGAAUCUCGUGAAUUCCGUCAAUCUCGUGAAGUCCUUAAAUGCUGUGAGGUCCAUGAAUUUCGUGAAUUCCAUGAAUUUAAUGAAUUCCUUGAAUACCUCGAACACCGUCAAUUUCUUUAAAUCCGUGAAUUCCAUGAAAUCUGUCAAUUCCUGAAGUGAUAUGAAUUCCAUGAAUUCCGUAAAUUCUUGAAUUUCAUAGAUUUCCAGAAUUCUGUUAAUUUCACGUAUUCCGUUAUUUAUACGAAUUCCGUGAAUUCUUAGAAUGUCGUUCAUUCUUUGAAUGAUUUGUAUUUUUUGUAUUCUCUAAGUUCCUUGGAUUCCGUUAUUCCGUAAACUUUUCGAAUUCCAUGAAUUCGUUGGAUGCAAUUAAUUCGUCAAGGUCCGUAAAUUCUGUGAAUUUCUUAAAUAUCGUGAAUUCCAGGAAUUUCGUGAAUUUCUUAAUUCCUUGAAUUUCGACAAUUCCAAUAAUUCCAGGAAUUCAUUGAAUUCCAUGAAUAGUAAUAGUUUGUUUAGUUAUUUAUCAUUAAAUUCAAAUUAUAGUGCCAAAAGUUCAAAUAUUAUGUAAAGAAUUUUGAUUCAUAUUGAAUAUAAAGAAAUUUGAUAUAUAAUUUAAUCACAUUAUUAAUCUUGAAGGAUAGAAAAUUGAUAGAAAAAUAUAGUUAAUAGAGUGUAAGAAUUCUAUAAUUAAUUUUAUCUUUCCGAAUCUUCAGGGUUAGGAUAUUGGUUGAUUUAUUUUAAAUUAUACAGCUAAAGCAACAGCAAAAAACAUAUUGGAUCAAGAAAAAUGAUCAACAAUGAAAAAAUGUUAAAAAGUUGGUUUACACGUAAUAUUAACAAGAUAAUUCAAAUAUUGUUUUUAUAACUGUGAAAAUGGUUCAUUGUGCCAACUAUUUAGUUUUUUAAGAUAUAGCACAGUUAUUUUAUUAGUUGGGACAACCAUUUUCUUAGUUACUAGUAUUAACUGAAUAGUCAUUGUAACUAAAAGAAUGGUUAUGCUAACUAAUAAAAUAGUUAAAUAUCUUAAUAUAAUAUAAUAAUAUAAUAUCAAUAUCUUAAUAGCUAAAUAUACGCCUGGACUAAAAAAAUUUUCAAUGAUUUAUUUUAAAAAUUGAAUGCACAUUUCUAAAAAAGGUAUAAAACUAAGAAUCUAGUUUCUAUCAAAAAUGUCUCUUUAGAGAAAUCUGAAUAUUUAGUUCCUGUUAUCUUCUCAUUUAGGCCUAUUGUCAACAGUUUCUGAACCAAUAAACAAUUUUUGGAUAAAUAUUUCUUCCUUUAAUUUUUCCCACUUUCUUGUUGGUAUGUGUUGCCGGUUGAUUGGCUUAUCUUCCUCCAUUAGAUAAAUUUGACUUUCGUGUUCCAAAAAAAUAAAGUUACUUAAGCUCGUUUUUCCCUACUGAUGUGCCUAAAAAUGAAAAAGAGAAUUGGAAUAUAAAGCUGUUCAUGGUUGUGUUAAGAACGGGGAUUAUAUAAUUGUGGGAGCUUCUGGUCAAAUCUGUCUAACUGAAUACGAUUGUUGUGACGACCUAAUUUGCGGAAAUCCCAAACAGCCGGGUUCAAGCAGUACGAUAUGCCAUUCAAAAGAUACUUAAACAUUCGUGUGAUGCAGAGAGAAACCUAUUUUUUUACAGAUCUUCAGGUCAUGGAAAAUAAAAAAAAUUAUACGCUGCGCUGAAUAUUGAAAUAUGUUGCAUUUUUUUAAUUAAUAUUAUUUAAAAUAAACAAAUAAAAUAAAAAAA